CGUGCGUGACUCGUGGUUGACGAUAUGGUCAGUGGGACAUUUUUGUGAUCGGCCAUGCCGAAUAAGAUAUAUCGUAAUAUAAUUGGAAACGUAUGUAUUUGCCUGCAUUAUUAAUUGGAAUAACACAUAUUCUAUAUAUGAAGUAAGGUACUUGUAAUAAGCAAACAAGCAAGCAAGGGUUGAAUAAGAAGAUUAGAUUAGUGUCGUGAUGCAUUUCGCAAAGGAAUGGAAAACGGGCUUCGUGCCGAAAAGAACAACGCAACAACCCAAUUAUAAACUGCACGUCUCAGAUGCAGUUGACGGACAAGGGUCUAAGAACGGGUGCCCCUGGACGUUACGGUGUGGGAAACCUUAUCCGUGUGUUGGUGUUAUCUCACUGAUUUUUUAACUUCCGUGAAGGCCUCGUACAUUUUUUAACUUGGUGUCAGCGUAUGAUCGUCAUCAUGUGUUAGACACAUUGCGGCUCUGACAUUUUCUACGUGGGCAGCUCGUUGCUCUUCAAAGAGUUCGAAUGACCUGAAAAAGAUAUACAUGAAGUGCAAGGUAUGCCACCUCGAAUGGUCCGAGCGUCUGAGUGGUUUCGUUGGAACAGCUCCUCGUUCCCGUUCUAUCGCGAUUACAUUUCAUUGAAAUCUGACUUUAUAAACAAUAUCGCAGGAAAAUUAUUGUCCUCCUGUUGAAUUUUUGUACCUGGCGGCAGAUGUGAUAGAGAAGCCAGGGCUUGUGAAGGCAAUGGUGGGAAAUAGAUCACUCGCAAUCCAGGUGAGAGAAAAACUUACUUGAAACACUGGCGAAGACUGCUGGCCGAUGAAUCGUCGCUGCAUUUGGCCUGCUCGACUCUUCGCUGAUGGCAUGCAUCUUCCCUCUACAGAGCGAGCUAUUGAUGCCAGGUGCCACGGGUAAGAAGCAUUAAUGCACCCUUCGUCUCGCUGGUUAUUUUAUAAAUUCUCCAGGCGAGCAAGCACAUAUAUAUAAAACCAACGCCCCUGACCAUCGCGCUUUUGAAGAUGCCUCAAUUUUUACAAAGCCAGAAAAGAAUUUCCCGGUGUGUAUUGAAUACCCGACCCCAACGCCGGCACUCUGGUUUAAUUAAGCGCACGAGUAAGUGCCCAAGAUUUAUGACUCCCUGCAAAUUUGGCACUGCGGCCUUCAG
rnacentral:lncRNA from 1 species